AGUAGCCAGGAAACUUUAUUCAAAAGCAAAGGAAUAGUACAGAUGAGAAAAUCUUAUAUUAUCAAGAUUGACAGCCAGCUAUCACAAUGGAGGUACCCAAGGGCAUCAGGUUAUUGCCCGGGGCUUCUUUUCCUGCGGUAGGAGGAGCUUGUUGCUAAGGGCAUAGUUUGGAUGGUUCUCUGUUUUGAUUGAUGGAUUAGGUCAUGACCAUUUUUAUUGUGUAUGUCCCUUCCUAUAAUGCAUCUGAUUUUAAUUAUGUGCCUGCCUGGUUAUGCACAGGGGUAAUGUGUUAAAUAGGGAAGCAUCCCUAAUAAAGUUCACUUAGGAACACAGUUUUGCCUUGUUGCACACACACCUCGAAACAGUUUAGGAGGAGUCAGCCUUUCCAUUCAUGCACCAUGAGAAACGUGGAGUACAACGGAAGAGAAUCUAAGUCUGAUGGUCUUUAAGAGGAGGAAAGUUUUACUCCAUUGUUCAGAAUGGGGGAGGGGUGCGUGCAGCUCGAUGCAGAUGGAGGUUCUAUGUUGGGACUAAGUUGCUAUUCAGAGAGAUGUGUAUGUGCUUAAUGUAUGCAGGUAAAGGUCUCCGGCUGCCAAGCACAUUAUUAUUAAAGAUGGUUGUGUGCACAUCAUAGCCAACUAGAAUCUCAGGUUACUAAAUUAUUCCUGUGCUUGUGCUUGUCUGCCACAAGGCUCCGGGCUUGAUUCCUAACACUAAUAAUAAUAGGGGGAAAGCAUUGGGGUGUAGUUGGGUGGCACGGUAUGUGCUUAGCAUGUGUAAAUGAACCAUUUAAAUCCUCACUAUGAACACGUGUGCACACAUGCACAGCAUACACACAUACAGUACUUAUGUGACAGGGUGUGGAGAGAAUGCAUACCAUCAUCAGAAAUGGUACCAUUCCUGUCCUAGUGAUUUCUUCUCCUUUUCAUUUUUUUUUUUUUGUAUGGGAUAGGUAUACAUGUUUAGAAAAUAAUUUAAUGCAAUCUAAUCUGUCAGUUCUUCCUAUUAUUUCUGCUUAGGUGGAGUAAACCAACUUUGUAAACAUGUUUUCUCUCGGAAGUGGAAUCUGGAGUUGGAGUGAGAGGAGAGGAUAUAAUAAUGAAGGGAGGGUUGUUGGGGAGGUAGGUGGAAGCAAUGGGAGGAAAGGAUAAAGGUUAGUAGGGGAAACGUGAUAAAUGCCCAUCACGGGCAUGUAUAGAAAUGUCACAGCGGGGCCCCUUACCUGUGUGAUUAGUAUAACCAAUAAAAAUCAAUAAAAUCGUAAGUUGUGAUAGGUGUCCCAAGAGGCAAAAACAAUGGAUCCUGCUUUUAACUGAAACCUUAAAUUGUUGUUGUAUGUUGUUUUGAGAUAGAGUCUCAUAUCGCUCAGGUUAGCCUCAAAUUCUUUGUAGCUAACAAUAAAGUCUUGACCUGCCUGCUUUCACUCUCCAGGAGCUACACAUACUACCAUGCCCAGACUUCUUUGGUACUGCGUAUCAAACCCAGGGCCUGGUAUACUUUACCAACUGGGCUAGGCCCCUAUUCAGUUGGUUGGUAUUGUGUUUGUUGAGAUAGAAAAGGUUUGGAAUAUAAGCAAGCAAAAGGAAAAGACACUUUGCUGGGAGAAAAAUAGCCUAGAUGAAGGCCUUGGGGCACAAAGGGUCUUCCUUGGAUAAUGACCACAUUGAAAGUUCUGCAGUGGAGUAGAGGCUGGGAAAAUGGAGGCCUGUGUGAGUGAGGAUGUGGACUCCAUACAAAGGGUCUGCUAUUGUAUUUCAAGAGAAACACCAUGCUGUGCUAUCAAGGAGUACCUGAGAGAAAUGCAUGACCUAAUUGGAUAUUGGGGAAUCUUAUCCCACCCACUGUGGAGAAGGAAUCUCGGGGGACGUCUGCUGGUUUAUGAGAAGGUCUUAGAGCUAUGGGCCUUACUAUUAAGGAGAACGGCCUACAUUUUUAAAAGCUGGUUUUCUGUGUGUGGGAAUGUGUAACCCAGACAUUAAACACUUGUUUUGUUUAACAUGCUUAAGACCUUGGAUUCAGUCCCCAAUCCCCUCCCCUCAAAACUUUCAAGCUUUCAGAAUCUAAAUUGUAACUUUGGUGAUAGUGAACAGACC
rnacentral:lncRNA from 1 species